AAUCACAACAAAAUGAGGAAUUUUAAUCAGCCAAUGCUUUUGUUACAGUGUGCAUGGAGUUGCUGAGCGGUCGGUGUUGGCUGGGUGUUCUCCUCUGAUUGAUGCCAUCUGUACCUAUGGAUGUGUGCUUCAGGACCAAGCUCUGUGGGUAACCGAUGCCAUGAUUUGGAGAGGUUACAUCUCCUGAAGAAGAAAGACGUUCAUUUACUUCAGAAGCAUGUGAUUUAACAGACUCCCUCGCCUCCAGGACCAGAGUUUUGAGGAAGACGAGAAGAGAGCCAGGACAAGCACUGAUCAGGCUGCAGCAGUGCAGAGGACACAUUCGUUCUUCCCCCAUCCCGCCAUAUUCAUCCACUGGGGUGAGACACCCAAAUCUUUACUUACAAAGCUGGCUUUUGUCAUAUCCUGCCCAGCAUCUAAAUCAGAGCUCUCUCAUUCACCAGUGCUGAUGUUUCCACGGAAGAUGGAUUAAUCUCUUUUUUUUUCUUCCCACUGAUCUGGGGCUUUAGGGAGAGUUGCAGAUAGCAAACAGGAGGGGAUUUAAGCCUUUCUCUUCACCUUUAAAAAAAGCCUGGCACAGCAUUGCUCUCCUAGGAAUAGGCCCACAUUAUUACUGCAGCCACAGCCACAUCAUCAGAGCUACAGUGCUCAGAGUUGUAGAUCAUCAGCCUGCUGUCACAGCCAUGAUGUAUGAUGGAAAAAGCCAUCCAUCUGAAAGUAUGCAGCACAAAGGGCUGGAGCCAUGCAGCAUGGCAGGGCCAAUGUACAGAGCACCAAACACUUUCCAACCCAAACAAGGCACAGAUUUGUGCCUGAUGAACUGAGGUUCAUUAGGAGGAAAAGGGAACAACUUCAAAGCCUCUCACUUGCAGGUGUCCAAAAUAGCAAAAUACAAACGCACUCACGGAUUGAGAAACAAAUCUAGCUACUGCUUCCUCCACACACACACCUCUUUCCCUUAAAGCUUACAUUUGAUUUUCUUUUCCAGUGUAAAACCUCAAUCAUAUUUACACCAGCUUUAGGAUCUUUACAGACAAAGACAUUUAAGGCUGUGAAAUCUUGGGCGAAAGUAAAAUGAUAUGGUGGAUCAAUCAGCUGAUGCUUCUUCCCUGCACAGCAGGGGACUCCAGCAAACCUCUUGCAUUUUGUGCAGAGACUCAGCUCCAACUGAAUUUUUCCUUUGGCACUAUAAGAGCAAAAAGAUAUUUAAUGAAGGAAAAAAAAAAAAAAAAAAAAGGAGAGAGCAAGGGAGAAGGAACAAUCAUGAGCCUUUACGCAUGGCGCCAGGUUCCUCAACUAAAAUGAACUGUUGCUCUUCCAGGAGAGAAACCAUUUCACAUCCAUUAUUCUCUUGCACAACACUCCAAGUGUGGGUGCAGAAAUAGUUUCCACCUAAAAAACCCUCAAAUUAGAAGAACACAUGGCAUGCAUGGAUCACAGAGGCGCAGCCCAGGGUGCUGCUCACCCACACAUGGUUGUCCCAAAUUUUUAACAUCUGUCACCAUGACACAAGCAAAAAAACCACUUUAUGAAAGCAGAUGUUCAGAAAGUUCUGUUUUUUUCCUCUCCAUGUGAGAAAUGCCUCAUUUAAAAAAACAGAAAUGGUGAUACCUGUAGAGGUAAGGAGCAGGUGAUGCAGGAGCAGGCACUUCAGCAGCCCUGCCUUUUGUGCAGCAGCAGAGGGAUGAGUAGUUUAAUUUCAAAUAGCCACAAAGUAAUUUUCAAAACACCUACCUCACUGUAACAUAGCACGCUUGAAAUACCACAUUCCUGUUCAUUAAUGGUAAAUUAUGGCACAUACACCCUGCUGUUACUGAGAAUGUCAGUCAGAAAGCCUUUGACAAACACGUCCCCUGCUUGUGGGGAUGAAAGAAAACCAGCAUCCGAGGUGAUGUCCGAUCUAACACCGUUCUUCAGAGACCUGCUGAUAAAUCUGUCAUGGGUGCCAUGGAAAAGAAAGAGAACACCAACAACAAAAAAGUCAGCAAACUUUGUAUUGGAGGGAUCUUAGAACAGUCACGAGUAUGUGACAGUGUGCGGCUGCAGCUCAGGAGAGCUUUUCAGUUACUCUGCUUGAAAUUCUGCCCUGUUUGGUGUUUUUGUUUUGUUUUGUUUUUUUAAGGUACUUUAUUCUGGGCCAACUCCUGAGAAGAAAACUGGGAGGAAAGAGCUCAAGGAAAGACUUUUUUGCCUAAACAGCCAGGCCAGCAGUUUAUAGAGCCAACAGAGGCACAGUUGCAUUCUGCAUGAGUUGACCAACCAUGGGUGGAACUGUCCCGCUUAAUUCAGAAACUGAGCUUUGGCUAACUGUUAGCCUUAAAUAGACCUAUGUGUAGUUAAAAGUCACAGGUAAGUCUUACUAAAUUAUCUGGGAGGUGAAGAUCCUGUUUACAAAGCACCUUCAGCAACUUGAUUUACGUUGCCUAAAUGGUGCCCACCUCCACUCUGUUUGACUUUUGUGAUUGUAAGGCUGAAGCAACUAUAAUUAAAGAGCAUUUCUGGAGUGAGCACAGCACUAUGCAGUGUAAUGUGACAUUCAGAAUAUAUCAGUGUCACUUCGCACAGGAGUUCUGAUUACUUUUACAUGUGCGCUUCAGCCCUGUCAUUCAUCCCUAGUGAAGCUCAUCUGCCUCAAACCACAGUGUCUCACCUAUGUCAUGUGGUUUCACCCCCUCUAUAAACCUCUGCCAUUUCCAUUUUAAUCAUGUGUUUCAUUCUUAAGGUAAAUAAUUCUAUUUGCAUGUUAAUGAUUCUACUAGCCUAUUGCCUAAUACAAACAGUCCUAAAAUAGGGCAGCUCACCAAUGUGGAAGUGAGACCUAAGUAUCCAGUAAGUAUCGCCCAUUCACACAGCAAGAUGUGUCUGAAAUGGGAAGAGAGAUCUGUAUCUUUUUCCAUGCGAUUCCAGCAGGAGCUGAGACUGCUCUUUGAUUCAGCGAUAAUGAGUGAACAUUGCACCAACGACAUUUACAUUUUUCAGUGGUAAGGAAAACACAAGAAGUGUUCUUCUGGGUUCAGAUUCCGGCCCCCAAAUGCACGCUGAUUUCCUGAACUUUGAACCGCCUCCUGAUGUGAACGAACAGCCUGGCAAUUAGCAAAAGGCGACAUCAGAUGUGAAAGGUGAAAUCAAAUUUUCAUCAGUUUCUGUGUAUCUGCUUCACUGGGAAACUUUCUGAAAAUAUAUCAGAAGGGCUGUUGGAGGUCCUCUGCCGUGCUGCCACGUGCCGUGUCCAACUAUUAUCCAGGCUCCCUGCUGACUGCUGCUGGAGCAGGCUGAACUUUCACAUCAGGGAGGUGGCAAGAUGCAGUUUGGUGUGUGCCUCAGAUGCUGGGCAGGAAGAAGCUACGCUUUUCCUCUCAUGUGGACCCCUGAAGCCCUCAACAAAGGCAGGAACUGGGGGCAUUGACAACCCCAACAAGGCUGGAGCUCACCUGCAGGCUCUGGUUUCCUUUCCUGCUGGCUAGCAACAAAAGGGUGACUGUCACAUGGGCACUGGCUUGGAUUAGGGCUGUAAAAAGAUGUGUGUGGAUGUACAGCAUCAGUAUGCAUUCCAAUACACCAGGUUAAAGCUGAAGCAAGGAAAUAACAAGAUCUGGUUCUUUUCAUUGACCAGUGUUGUAGCAUGGACAGUACUGCUGUUCCUUAUGGAAUUCUUCCAGUUGUAGCAGAAAUGCUAAG